rnacentral:misc_RNA from 1 species
GACAGUCCCGCCGAUAGCCCCGGCGCCAAUGAUAGUGAUGGGUCGGUCUCGCAGAUCAGGUGUUGCCAUUCGCUCUCUCCCCGCCUUUUACGCAUCUGAUUCGGCUCCCCCGUUGACGGGAGGCGGA